GACGAACGCUGGCGGUGUGCUUAACACAUGCAAGUCGAACGGUAAGGCCCUUUCGGGGGUACACGAGUGGCGAACGGGUGAGUAACACGUGAGUAACCUGCCCUCAUCUCUGGGAUAACAGUCGGAAACGGUUGCUAAUACUGGAUAUGAGCUUGCAAGGCAUCUUGUGGGUUGGAAAGAUUUUUUUGGUUGGGGAUGGACUCGCGGCCUAUCAGCUUGUUGGUGAGGUAGUGGCUCACCAAGGCUUCGACAGGUAGCCGGCCUGAGAGGGCGACCGGCCACAUUGGGACUGAGAUACGGCCCAAACUCCUACGGGAGGCAGCAGUGGGGAAUAUUGCACAAUGGACGGAAGUCUGAUGCAGCAACGCCGCGUGCGGGAUGACGGCCUUCGGGUUGUAAACCGCUUUCAAUUGUGACGAAGCUUUUUGUGACGGUAGCAGUAGAAGAAGCACCGGCUAACUACGUG
rnacentral:rRNA from 1 species